CCGGCUUCCAUGGGGCUCAUGAAAACACAUCAAUUCAUUGUUGCACAUAACUAUAGCUAAUAAACAGAUGGUUAUGAAUGCUAUAUUCAAUUUUGGAUAAACACUCCUAAAUCCUACCCACUGUAGCUUUAUUGCUUUUAUUUAUUUAUUAUUUUUUACAAAACACCAGAUGUGUGGUAAGAUGUAAGAGAAGGAAGUAGAAGUAAACAAGACUUAACGGUACAAACAAAAAUCAACUGCGAGUACAAAAAUUAUAAGGAGGGACACAAAUUAUGGAAAACGACAUAAAUGGUUUGAAGCCAUCGGUGAUCCUGAUGCAAACAAGGCAUUUGAACGCAAUUGGUGCAGUUUUAAGCAACAGUUUGGACUGUCCAUUGAGGCCAUGGGUCUGGACUUGAAGCCAGAUGUGGCAUCUGUCAAACGUAGCAUCGGUGCAUAUUUUAAGUGAAGUAGAGCGCAGUUAUGCUUUU